rnacentral:rRNA from 1 species
UACGUAGGGGGCAAGCGUUGUCCGGAUUUAUUGGGCGUAAAGAGCGUGUAGGCGGCCAGACAGGUCUGCUGGGAAAACUCGAGGCUCAACCUCGAGCUGUCGGUGGAAACCGUGUGGCUAGAGUCCGGAAGAGGAGAGUGGAAUUCCCGGUGUAGCGGUGAAAUGCGCAGAUAUCGGGAAGAACACCCGUGGCGAAGGCGGCUCUCUGGGACGGUACUGACGCUGAGACGCGAAAGCGUGGGGAGCGAACAGG